GAUGAACGCUGGCGGCGUGCUUAACACAUGCAAGUCGAACGGUGAAGCCCAGCUUGCUGGGUGGGUUCGUGGCGAACGGGUGAGUAACACGUGAGUAUCCUGCCCUUAUCUCUGGGGUAUGACUGCGAAACUGGGUCUAAUAUAGGGGAGGAGCGUUCCCGGCACGGUGGGGGUUUGAGAGAUUUGUCGGUUUUGGAUGGACUCGCGGCCUAUCAGCUUGUUGGUGGGGUAUUGGCUCACCAAGGCGACGACGGGUAGCCGGCCUGAGAGGGUGACCGGCCACACUGGGACUGAGACACGGCCCAGACUCCUACGGGAGGCAGCAGUGGGGAAUAUUGCACAAUGGGCGCAAGCCUGAUGCAGCAACGCCGCGUGCGGGAUGACGGCCUUCGGGUUGUAAACCGCUUUCGGCAGGGAAGAAGCGAGAGUGACGGUACCUGGAAAAGAAGCACCGGCUAACUACGUG
rnacentral:rRNA from 1 species